rnacentral:lncRNA from 1 species
GGUCCCGGGGUCAAGGGUAGGAAGGCACGAGCGACAGACUUGCACUCGGCUUGCCGAUUACAAGUCCCCGUAACCGAACGUACAAACGCUCACCUUAGGUCUGAGGGCACACGGAAGGACUCGGUCAUUUCAACCGUGACAGUGAAAGUGACCGGAUAGGAGUUCUUGGUUUUUGCUUCGCGUCUUUCAGUGUUCAAGUCCAAGAUAGGAACAAGUAGUGCCAGUGUGCGAACGUGUGCCGUGUGCGUUAAGAAGGAGAACCCCAGUCGUUCGGCGGCCCUCUUACACCCCGAUAGAACUGGUGCGUCGGCACCCGCACUGUUGGUGUUCCAGCAUCCCCAUCCGUGCCCGCAGGAUCCACUUUCCAUCGUCCCGGUUGAAAAACCCCCCCGGUAGGACGCCGUCCGGAAGAGGGCUGCGCACGUUACCAUCGCGCCCUGAACACGCCCAUCCACCACGCGCGUGGCCAACGUACACCCAUUUGCGCGUCGGCCAGCUAACCCCGCCGAGAGCGCCGUGAGCAGGACGCCCACCUGGCGUCGACCUUCAUCGGAGAGCGCGUGAACUAAGUUCAUCGCGCCACGCGGAUAGAUAUCGAGUUGCCGCCGGAAGCCGGCAGGCACGACGCUGAGGCGUCUCGAGAGAAGCAGCACACCGAGUCGAGAGAAGAGCAGCAUUGAGCGUCAGGAGCAUCGCCGAGCGUCGCAGAGCAUCCCGGGAGUUCACCGAUCGUCGCACCACGUGCGGUCCCCGUUCUUGUGAGAGAGGUUAGGUUGCAAACCGCCUAACCAAGCAGUGAGUACAACUCCCCCCCUGAGACUAUCUCCAUGCGCAUGUGAAUUUGGGGUUUUAGCGAAGACACGCACCACUAAGGGCUCGGCCGAGCCAAGAAACGAACGAAAAACGCACACGUAGGGAAAAUCCAGCUAGCUAUGUUUCGGGAACAUUCAGAUUAGAGGCCUCAACUAUAACUAUGCUAAUCCUAGGUUAAUUUGUAGUUUACGAUCGUACCGCUGUAAUAAAAUCAUGCUUUGCAGUACCGUGUUUCCUCUA